rnacentral:rRNA from 1 species
GCGCACGCUGGCGGCAGGCCUAACACAUGCCAGUCGCACGAACUCUUCGGAGUUAGUGGCGGACGGGUGAGUAACACGUGGGAACGUGCCUUUUGGUUCGGAAUAACUCAGGGAAACUUGUGCUAAUACCGAAUGUGCCCUUCGGGGGAAGGAUUUAUCGCCAUUAGAGCGGCCCGCGUCUGAUUAGCUAGUUGGUGAGGUAACGGCUCACCAAGGCGACGAUCAGUAGCUGGUCUGAGAGGAUGACCAGCCACACUGGGACUGAGACACGGCCCAGACUCCUACGGGAGGCAGCAGUGGGGAAUCUUGCGCAAUGGGCGAAAGCCUGACGCAGCCAUGCCGCGUGAAUGAUGAAGGUCUUAGGAUUGUAAAAUUCUUUCACCGGGGACGAUAAUGACGGUACCCGGAGAAGAAGCCCCGGCUAACUUCGUG